ensembl:lncRNA
GUGUCCUCUUUGUGGUCCUGGCGCUCCUGUUGACCCUAGAGGAAGUGCUAAGGGAGGUGUGGGACACCCUGCGCUCAAGGAAGAAGCUCCACCUCUGGCAGCAGUUGUGAAGCAUCGUCUCCAGAGUGACCUGAGCUGCUCACAUCCCAUGUGCCCACAGGAGAGAGAGUUUCUACUGAACCAGUUCAAACUGGUCGACAGGAAGAGAGGAAGCUACUGCCGGGACCUAUGGUACUGACUGACACACACUGACACACACACACACACACACACACACACACACACACACACACACACACACACACACACACACACGUCUGUAUGGUCUUUUGGGAACCUUCAGUUACUCCCAGCUUUAUCAGGACACUCAGGUUGCCUUUUUAACACAAACCAAAUGUAAUCAUGUGUGAAACAAUCACUUUAUUACAUUUUAGCUUCACGGUGUCACAGUGUGAAUGUGUGGUCAGAGCAAUCAGAAAGAGUAUCUGCAUCACGAUGGACAUCAGCUGUGCAGAUCAAUAUCACAGCAAGAAAUCAGGACAUUGAAACCCCCACCAUCAAAAGUAUAACGCAGAGAAAUCAAGUUCAGCUCUAGUAUCA